rnacentral:rRNA from 1 species
GAUGAACGCUGGCGGCGUGCCUAAUACAUGCAAGUCGAGCGAACGGACGAGAAGCUUGCUUCUCUGAUGUUAGCGGCGGGCGGGAGAGGAACACGUGGAUAACCUACCUAUAAGACUGGGAUAACUUAGGGAAACCGGAGCUAAUACCGGAUAAUAUCUUGAACCGCAGGGUUCAAAAGUGAAAGACGGUCUUGCUGUCACUUAUAGAUGGAUCCGCGCUGCAUUAGCUAGUUGGUAAGGUAACGGCUUACCAAGGCCACGAUGCAUAGCCGACCUGAGAGCGUGUGGGCCCACAGUGGAGCUGAGCCGCCGUCCAGGCUCCUACGGGAGGCCGCGGCAGCGACUCUUCCGCACUGGGCGGAAGCCUGACGGAGCAGCGCCGCGCGAGUGCUGCAGGUCCUCGGGUCGUAUGACUCUGUUAUUGGUGAAGAACACAUGUGUCAGUAACUGUGCACUUCUUGACGGUACCUGAUCAGAAAGCAACGGCUAACUACGUG